AAUUGGUAUUUCGCAAAAGAGGCUUUAUAAAACAACUAGUACCACCCUACGGAGUCACUCGGAUUUUGGAUUCGCAAGCGAUUCCCGAAGAAAAAAAGUUGAGGAACAUCGCGGCAAAGCUCACUACGAAAGGCAAAAUGGUCAACACAAAGGGCGUGGUGUACUCAGUGUUCGCGGUCGUCGCCGUGGUCACGGUGUGCGGAGUCCUACCGGUGGUGCAAGGAAAGGCCGCCGCCAAGGCCAGCGAUGGCCCGAGUGGCUUCGACUUCACUCAUUUCUUGAUGCCGCCACUUCCGAGCGAAGACUGCGAAGGCGUCGCGGUCGCCCCGGGCGGUGGCUCCACCAUGGUGGCCGACGCCAAUGACUGCACCAAGUACUCCGUCUGCACGGACACGUUCAGCACCAAGAUCACCUGCCCGGCCGGACAGCACUUCAGCGUGGCUGACAACAGGUGCACGGCUCCGGAGAAGGCUGGUUGUGACCCUGCCUUUGCUGUCACCACUGCAGCUGCUGCUGCUCCUGCUGAUGCCAACAAAGCAGACGUCAACGCUGAAGCCGAAUCGGCUCCCGCCGAAGCCUGAAAAGUUCGCCCCACAGUGGACACUGUGCAGGAUAAGUGUGCUGCUCGCCGGAGUGUACGGAGGCGCGUUGUCGCUCCUCGUUCACCGCCCCUGCGAAAACUAAGAAAAAAAAAUGAACGUCGCUGCGGGAAAGUGAUGGAUUCGCGCUCCACGUCACAAAACCUACAAUAAAUAAAUAAAUAAAUAAAUAAAUAAAUAAAU
rnacentral:misc_RNA from 1 species